rnacentral:lncRNA from 1 species
AGAAACAGUAGCUAAUAGACUGGACCAAUUAUAUGAAAACAAUCAUAUUCAUUAUAAUAACUACCCUACACAGUACAGGAUCAAGCAACUAUUUCGGACGUAACAUGUUUGCGUCGUUCUAUAAAAAAAUUGGGGUAUCGUCAUCAUCCUGCGACUACCAACUCUCUACUAGUCAGUGAACGGAGAACCGAGAGCACUAUCGCUUGAGGUAGCGGAGAGCAUCAAGCGGAUAAACUCUGUCUAAUUUUCAGCUAAUUCCCCUUCAGUGCUGGUCGGACACGGACCAUAUACCAUCCCCGAGUGGAUUUUUUUUGUCUGUGGGUGACCCGAACUGUUGGACGAAUUGAAAAAUAUUAUAAUUUGGCGUCGUAUCUAAGCAGAAACGAAAGUAUUGAGAGUGGUAUCCGAGGUUAGCCAGUUGGCUAACUGGGAAGGUUGCCUAGCUAGCUACUGCUGAGAAAAUACGAAGCGGAGGGAGACUACAGCGGCAAAAAGGGCCAUCGACGUGAGCUGUAUCCUGAAGAGGAGCUCUCCGUUUUUCUGGACACAUCAAGAGGAGUCGGAGUCCAUUUUGCUGUGUUCUACUCUGAUACUUUCGGAGCCUCCACUGACAGCCCUAACAGUGAGGGGCCAGGCCGGGAGCGGAGAGGAGAGCAACCCCCAGUGUGGCCUGACCGAGAGAAUCAAUGCCAAGCCCUUCUCCUCCUCAGACAGCCUAGUGAAGGAGGAGGAAGAGGAGAACAACAACAGUGGCAGCCAGCAGGGAGAGGAGGAGGAAAGGACAGAGGGAGGAGAGAGAACGGGGAGGGAGGACGAGGAGGAGAUGGACCAGGACAGUGAUGACUUUGAGCAUUCGGAGGAGAGCGGGAGGGAGGAAGAAGAGGAGGAGGAGGGGGAGGACGGCCUCCACUCACCCUCCACCAGGAGUGAUGCAUCUGUCCCCAACAACAACUUGGACCAGUCCUCGGGAUGCCAACACCAAAGCUCACCCAUCAAGAAGAAGGUGAAGGAAUGGAGCAGGCCCUACUGUCGGGAGAAGGAAUGGAGCAGGCCCUACUGUCGGGAGAAGGAAUGGAGCAGGCCCUACUGUCGGG